GGUUCCAUGGCUCAGUUGGUUAGCGCGUGGUGCUAAUAUAGAAAUAUGUUAACGCCAAGGUCGAGGGUUCGACCCCCUCUGGAACCA
rnacentral:tRNA from 1 species